AACUAAAUAAAAGUAGGUUAUAUACACAUACUAGGAUGUCCAUAAUGAUGUCCACCCCCUUACAUCGAAGUACUCACUUUAAAUAAUAUAUAAUUUAUUUGAAGAGAAUCUCUCUCUCUGAGGAUAUCAUUAUUAAUACUGCAUUAUGUACAAACAGCGUAUUCCAUUAAAGUAGGUUUGUAAAUAAAAUAUCAGCCCCAGGCCGGAAAAAGGCAAGCUCGGAGGUAGAAGUAGCUUAGCAAUUCAUACAUAGAUGCAUUUCCAGCAAUGACACAGCAGUAUGUCUGAAAAAGGGUAGGGAUUCAUGCUACUACACAAAUGAAAUUACAUAAAAUAAACAGCUAAAUUUAAACCUGUCGGAUAUAGAUAAUUAUAGAGAUAUAUAGUAGUAUAUAUUCAUAUAUAUGAGAACUGAGUAACAAUCUCCACUAAUAUUUAGGAACCCACACGAUGUGAUCCUCAGGGAGGAAAUGGCAGACCGGAACUGUCCCUGGUUUCACCUUCAGCACCUGAAAAGCCAAGUGUUUUGGGUUCCACGCCGCCGUAUCCUUGUGACAAACGGCCACCGCUUUCACCUUGGUGCCGUCGUCCCCCACCAUCGCCACCUUGUA
rnacentral:lncRNA from 1 species